UAUAUGGUUAAGGUUUUAUGUAUAUCUGUGUUUUUUUAUUUGUGGAUUAAAUGAUUUAUUUAUCACAUUCGUUACACCAUGAAAGGCCAGUAUAAAUUGUAAAGGAUUAUUAAAUUGGAUCCCAUAAGAAGUUGCAGAUUCCAGCAUCCUAAAAAAUGUAAGAAGAAAACUAGAAACAAGGGCAUCCAUUAUCAACGAAAAGCGUGCUUGCGAACGAACCUCGACUCGCCACGACCUACAUACGGACACAGAUGAUGUCUUCGUUGCGUCUUGUGGGAUUAUUUUUAAAACGAGAAAAAAAAAAAGAAAUAAAAGGAACAAGGAAAUGAAAAGAAGGGGAAAAAAGAAAAUAGGUAAGAAACGCGUAGAACAAAACGGUACAAUUUUUACGAUCGAAAUUAUAAUAACACUAUUCAAAAUUAUUUCUUAUCAUUUUAAUUGCGUUGAAAUUUUACUCGAUACAAAUAAAGUCCAAACUAUCAACGUUAUCGUCGGUUUAUUUUUGUAAACGUUAUUUCUGAAUGAAUUUAAAAUUUUUUAAUGAUAUAUUUCUUCAUAUACGUUAUAUUAAUUUUGUAGAAAUUAUUAUACGUCGACUCAUAUAAUUUAUUUAUUAAAUAAUAUUUGCAUGCAAUUAUUGUUAGAGAAACGUCAAAAUAUAAUCUAAAAGUCAAAUACACGCACGUGUCGCACUCACGUUCAUUCGCUUGCUUAAAGAAAAUGCAUUUCUAUUAAACACAAUAGAUAAAAUAUCAAAAUAAAAAAGUAAUUAUAAGAAACGUAUUGUCGGAGGUCAUGAAGGUAAAGGUUGAAGAAGAAAGAAAAUGUAUGUGCAUACAUGCGUUAUAUACAUAUAUAUAUAUAUAUG